AUUGAACGCUGGCGGCAGGCCUAACACAUGCAAGUCGAACGAGUGGCGGACGGGUGAGUAAUGUCUGGGAAACUGCCUGAUGGAGGGGGAUAACUACUGGAAACGGUAGCUAAUACCGCAUACCAUCGGAUGUGCCCAGAUGGGAUUAGCUAGUAGGGGGGGUAAAGGCUCACCUGGGCGACGAUCCCUAGCUGGUCUGAGAGGAGGACGAGCCACACUGGAACGGGGCCACGGUCCAGGCGCCUACGGAAGGCAGCAGUGGGGAAUAUUGCACAAUGGGCGGAAGCCUGAUGCAGCGAUGCCGCGGGUGUGAAGAAGGCCUUCGGGUUGUAAAGCACGUUCAGCAAGGAGGCGUUACUCGCAGAAGAAGCACCGGCUAACACCGUGCCAGCAGCCGCGGUAAUAC
rnacentral:rRNA from 1 species